AUUGCUUCUCGGCCUUUUGGCUAAGAUCGAGUGUAGUAUCUCAAAUAACGUCCUUCUUGGUCUUCUCCAUUUUUUCUCUGCUUAUAGCUAAAUCUGCACACAAAGAGUGAUACUUCAAUGGGACUGUAAUUGUCCACUAUUACAAAGCUUCCAAUAUCUUUC
ensembl:snRNA U2 U2 spliceosomal RNA